rnacentral:rRNA from 1 species
UGUCUAUGCCAUACCAUCUUGCAUGCACCUGAUGCCUGAUUUUGGAAGUAAAUCAGGGUCAGAUCUGGUUAGUAUUGAGAUUGUAGAUUAUCAUUUUGAAGCAAACUCUAGCAUAUGAACAU